rnacentral:rRNA from 1 species
AAGAAACCAACAGGGAUUGCCCUAGUAACGGCGAGUGAAGCGGCAACAGCUCAAAUUUGAAAUCUGGCUCUCGGGCCCGAGUUGUAAUUUGUAGAGGAUACUUUUGAUGCGGUGCCUUCCGAGUUCCCUGGAACGGGACGCCAUAGAGGGUGAGAGCCCCGUCUGGUUGGAUGCCAAAUCUCUGUAAAGUUCCUUCAACGAGUCGAGUAGUUUGGGAAUGCUGCUCUAAAUGGGAGGUAUAUGUCUUCUAAAGCUAAAUACCGGCCAGAGACCGAUAGCGCACAAGUAGAGUGAUCGAAAGAUGAAAAGCACUUUGAAAAGAGAGUUAAAAAGUACGUGAAAUUGUUGAAAGGGAAGCGUUUAUGACCAGACUUGGGCUUGGUUAAUCAUCUGGGGUUCUCCCCAGUGCACUUUUCCAGUCCAGGCCAGCAUCAGUUUUCCCCGGGGGAUAAAGGCGGCGGGAAUGUGGCUCUCUUCGGGGAGUGUUAUAGCCCACCGUGUAAUACCCUGGGGGGGACUGAGGUUCGCGCAUCUGCAAGGAUGCUGGCGUAAUGGUCAUCAA